rnacentral:lncRNA from 1 species
ACCAGAGGACUUGAAGGAACUAGUGACUUUUUCCUUCACCGAGUGGGAGUUAUCCACAUCAAGCAUUUCACAACGACACAUCAAGAAAAGUAGGCAGGUUCAAGUCAACCAUGAAAUGGUCACUUUUUAACCCCGUCCUGUCCUCAUUAGGGAAAUGCUCAAACACAGUCCGUUUUCAAAGAGCGCUCUUAAUGAGGCGAGCCUGCCAAGUCCACCAGCUGCAGCCCCCGUAAAGCAAGAGCCUAAAGAAGAAAGGCGGUGGGGAAGGAGGGGGAGUCGAGGAGGCCAGGGGUGGAGCGGGGAGCUUUGGUUCUGGGAAGACAGGUAAAGUCGGGGAAAUUUAGAAAAUCCCCCGAAGUUAACCCUUUAGGGCACACCCCACUGGGAGCGGAAUCCUCUAGUCCGGGUUCUGACAACGUUAAUUUCCUUUGUGUGGGUCAUUUCUUCUUUUUGAAAAGCCAGAAUAAAGUUGACAGUCUUUAUAGAUGAAAGAAAUGAAGUGAGAGUACGGGUUAAUCCGAAUAAAUACUAAUUUCUCUCAGAAAUGUUUAGGCAAUCUCAUCCUAGAUUUAAAAAAAGAAAAAAGCCCAAAACAUCACUCUGUGUUGCACAUUCUGCUGCAUCCCUUUUCUCACCCUCUUACCAGGUCUGGGGGUUGGGGGGGGUGGGUGUGUGGAAACGCUACUGAUAACACCAGCUUUAACUACUGGAGUUUCCCUUUGAACAAAUAUUCAAUUUGACCGGGAUUAAUUUACCAUAAAAGACAUUCCCGUUGGCACGAAUGCCCUCCUGUCCUUGAACACACCUCUUUGAAUGCCUGGACUCUUACAGAAGCCAUUAUUUCGGGGUCUCUUUAAAAAUCAAGCGCCCAUCUCUCUUUCUCUCCCUCCCUCCCUUCUUCCCUCCCUCCUCACCACGCCACCCCCAGUGAAAUCUUGGCACCCUGCAAGUGCUCCGUUUCAGCCAGAGAUCCCAGAACCAGCCGCUGUCCCCUGGCAGAAGAGGCCCAGUGCUGAGCCCUGGGUCGCCUCCAGAAGUUUCUCACGAGCUUAG